rnacentral:rRNA from 1 species
CCAGACUCCUACGGGAGGCAGCAGUGGGGAAUAUUGCACAAUGGGGGGAACCCUGAUGCAGCGACGCCGCGUGGGUGAAGGAGCACCUCGGUGCGUAAAGCCCUAUCGGCAGGGAAGAAACAGACGGUACCUGACUAAGAAGCCCCGGCUAACUACGUGCCAGCAGCCGCGGUAAUACGUAGGGGGCAAGCGUUAUCCGGAUUUACUGGGUGUAAAGGGAGCGUAGACGGCAGCGCAAGUCUGGAGUGAAAUGCCGGGGCUCAACCCCGGAACUGCUUUGGAAACUGUGCAGCUAGAGUGCGGGAGAGGUAAGCGGAAUUCCUAGUGUAGCGGUGAAAUGCGUAGAUAUUAGGAGGAACACCAGUGGCGAAGGCGGCUUGCUGGACCGUAACUGACGUUGAGGCUCGAAAGCGUGGGGAGCGAACAGGAUUAGAUACCCCCGUA